GAUGGCUACAUGCGGACAUGCGCUCAUUUACAUAAUGUCCGUCUGAAAUACGAGGAGGAGAGUAGUGUAAGAGCCGGCUAAGUUCGGAGUUCCAAAUGU